GGCUUAGAUUCUCAGCUCUUAUUUUUAGAAGUUGGGGCCUGGACUGGUUGCCCGAGGGCACAGAUGCCAGCUGGAACCCCUAGGGGUUUGGGUGGACACUGCCCACCCUGGGCUUCUUCUGAAGGACCUCUCCUUCCCCAAGGGCCUGGCUGGCAUCAGAGAUCGAAAUUCCUGGCCUGGAUAACUGUGUGA
rnacentral:lncRNA from 1 species